rnacentral:rRNA from 1 species
UGCGGUUAAACAAAUAACGCUAUUAUUUUUUUUUGGUUUUUAAUAUUUAGUUAAUAAUAAUAAAUUUUUAUUUAUUAAAAUAUUGGGUGAAAUCCUAUUUUUUAUUUAAUUAAUUUUUUGUUUCUGAGGCUGAGAAAUCUAGGUUUAUAAACUGGGAUUAGAUACCCCAUUAUUCUUUAUGUGGAUUGUUAACCUAAUGAGUAUAAGUUAUGUUCUUUAAAUUUAAUAAAUUUGGCGGUGUUUUAUUCCAAUCAGGGGAAUCUGUUCUGUAAUCGAUAGUCCACGAUUAAUAUAACUUAUUUUUGCUUGUAUAUCGUCGUUGAAAAUUAUUUUUUGAAAUAUAUAAUUUUGUAAUUUUAUUUUAUUUAAAAUCAGAUCAAGGUGCAGUUAUUUAUAAGUAGAAAUGGAUUACAAUAAAUUUAUUUAAGGAUGGAUUUUUAAUAAAGGUCGUGAAUUUGGAUUUGAAUGUAAUUUUGAUUUUUAAUCAAGGUGAAUUAGGCUCUAAGAUGUGU